UAAUCGGAAUUACUGGGCGUAAAGCGUGCGCAGGCGGUUUUUUAAGCCAGAUGUGAAAUCCCCGGGCUUAACCUGGGAAUGGCAUUUGGGACUGCAAGGCUUGAGUGCGGCAGAGGAGACUGGAAUUCCUGGUGUAGCAGUGAAAUGCGUAGAUAUCAGGAGGAACACCGAUGGCGAAGGCAGGUCUCUGGGCUGACACUGACGCUCAUGCACGAAAGCGUGGGGAGCAAACAGG
rnacentral:rRNA from 1 species